rnacentral:SRP_RNA from 1 species
GAUGGGCACGGUGGUGCAUGCCUGUAGUCCCAGCUACUUGGGAGGCAGAGGUAGGAGGAUUGCUUGAGUUCAGGAGUUCUUGGUUAUAGUGAGCUAUACCAGUUGAGUGUCUGCACUAAGUGUGGUGUCAGUAUAGUGAUCUUCCAGGAGCAAGAGACCACUAAGUUGUCUAAAGAGGGGUGAACUGCCCCAGGUCAGAAAUGGAGCAGAUCAGAAAAAAGAAUGGGCACACCAGAGUUUCUAGCCACGGCAGACAAACUCUAGAUACAUGUGCCACUUUCUGCAUCU